CAAGGAUAUGACAGUAUACCUUUAAAUUUAAACCCACCCCAUUUAAGUGCAACUUUCCAUACAAUAAAUAAUCCAUUUGCAAUCAGGUAAAAAAAUAAAAUUAUAAGAAUAUAUUGUUGGCAUCAAAGAGCAAGACUGACCCACAAGUUCUCCAAGAUUCUUUUAACCAUCUGGCGAAUGCAAGAAGCCAACUGUCACGUCCUAUCAGUAGCACUUAAAAAAAAAAAAUGUCUUUAGUAGUGCUACAUUCUCAAGCCUAUAAGCGGGAUCCCC